UGCUGGCUGAUAUGUCUACUCACAUGAUUCCCAGCUGAGUGAUGCUUGUCCCACAGACACUCAAUGUUGAAUAAUGGUUUUUGGAAGCUGUGGACUCAAGUUCCUUCUCAAGUGACGAAGCUGGGUAAAGGAUCUCCUUUGUAAGCUGCUUGAAGAAGGUUUGCUGGAGCCGUGUGAAAGUGCUUACUGUCUAGAAGACAGAGCUAUUUUUAGCUUGAAGCCUUUGUUUAGGGAGCAACUUUUGAAGUCGAUGAUGAUGCCAGAUUUGGAAGAAUUUUGGAGGCCUGUGUUUGGGGAGCAGCGCAGAUGAGAAUCAGAUUGGAUCUGCAGACGGUGGGACGUUACAAAUAUGUAUUGAGCACACGUUAUAUAGAAGGACGACGAGACAGUGGAAUCCUGUGACAAAUCACUCCUUUUAAAGAGAAAUAUAAAUACAAUCUCGGCUUCCUCAUCUGUGAAGUGAGUGGACCAGUUCAUUACUCCCUGCAUAUGCGAUGAUUUCACAAUGACAAAACUAAAAAAGGCGAUUGAAAUUCUACUGAACAGAAAGACCUCCCUGCCGUAUUACCGACAGUCUGUCAGGGGUUGCCUCAGGGCCAGAAGUUGAGAAGCACUAACUCCAAAGAAAUCCUUCCCUGAAGGGGAUUGCAACUGAGAAUGAUUCUACGAUUAACAAACGUCUCUGAGCAAGUUGACUUGGGUGGAGACGAAUCACUGCUCUUUGCAUCACUGGGACUUCCUCCAAAACAUCUUCUCUGGGUCUGGCCCCGUGGCCGAGUGGUUGGGUUCGCGCGCUCCGCUGCAGGCGGCCCAGUGAUUUGUCGGUUCGAGUCCUGGGCGCGGACAUGGCACUGCUCAUCAAGCCACGCUGAGGCAGCGUCCCACAUGCCGCAACUACAAGGACCCACAACGAAGAUUAUACAACUGUGUACUGGGGGGCUUUGGG
rnacentral:lncRNA from 1 species